rnacentral:rRNA from 1 species
AUUGAACGCUGGCGGAAUGCUUUACACAUGCAAGUCGAACGGUGGAGGGGGCAACCCCUCGAGAGUGGCGAACGGGUGAGUGAUAUAUCGGAACGUGCCCAGUCGUGGGGGAUAACGUAGCGAAAGUUACGCUAAUACCGCAUACGAUCUAAGGAUGAAAGCGGGGGAUCGCAAGACCUCGCGCGAUUGGAGCGGCCGAUAUCAGAUUAGGUAGUUGGUGGGGUAAAGGCUCACCAAGCCAACGAUCUGUAGCUGGUCUGAGAGGACGACCAGCCACACUGGAACUGAGACACGGUCCAGAUUCCGACGGGAGGCAGCAGUGGGGAAUUUUGGACAAUGGACGCAAGUCUGAUCCAGCCAUUCCGCGUGCAGGAUGAAGGCCCUCGGGUUGUAAACUGCUUUUGUACGGAACGAAAAGGUCUCUCUUAAUACGGGGGACUCAUGACGGUACCGUAAGAAUAAGCACCGGCUAACUACGUGCCAGCCGCCGCCGUAACAC